rnacentral:rRNA from 1 species
AUACGAAGGUCGCGAGUGUUGUCCGGAUUUACUGGGCGUAAAGGGCGCGUAGGCGGGGAUGCAACUCCGGUGAGAAAUCUAUGGGCGCAACCCGUAAACUGCAUUUGAAAAUGCGUUUCAUGAGUGUCGGAGAGGUAGAUGGAAUUCCUCGUGUAGCGGUGAAAUGCGUAGAUAUUAGGAGGAACACCAGGUGCGAAGGCGAUCUACUGGACGAUAACUGACGCUGAGGCGCGAAAGCGUGGGGAGCAAACAGGAUUAGAUGCCCUGGUAGUCCACGCCGUAAACGAUGAAUACUAGGUGUGGGUGGGACUGACCCCAUCCGUGCCGCAGCUAACGCAAUAAGUAUUCCACCUGGGGAGUACGGCCGCAAGGCUGAAACUCAAAGGAAUUGACGGGG